GUCAAUCACACAAUAUAAUUUAUGAAGACAUAUUUUGAUGUCCUGUCACAGGAUGAAUGGGUCAUCAGGUUCUGAUGCAAAGUGAACUGGACAAGCAGAAAGUCCCUGAGGUCUUGAGAUGCUGCUCAAGGAGACAUGUUUGUGCAGAACUUUACAUUACAGCCAUACUUGGAGAUCUUGCAUAAUCCUCUGCAUAAGCAAGAGAAGAGGAAGGAUUCAGAAAGGGGACCAGACCCAUUUUCAGUUUCCCAUGAUAUGGAUGAUGUGCACAGAAACUGUGUUCUAAAGGUUGUUUGGUUUGACGUUGAUGACAAAGCCCUUUCCAGCAUCAAUCUUCCUAUGUACAGUGGCCCUGGGGUUCUGUUUUCAUCCUUGGAAGGGCAGUGUGUACUCAUGGACCCUGAAUCUCCUUGCACUGCCCCACCCCCAAGAUUUUCUCCAGCCUUCCCUUUCAUGAAUCAGAGUUGGUUCCUCCUUUCAUGUUCACAUAUUUUAGUUCUUCAGACAUAGUUCAAAUUCUACAUUCUCUCUGAAGCAAGCCUCACCCACCCUGACUCAGGCUUUGCCUCCCUUUGAACUUCUGUCUAUUUCUCAAUACCUAGUGUAGACAUGGAAACUUACUAUGCCAUGUUGACUUAUUUAUAGCUCAAGAUGCAGACCUGACCUUGUUAUAUUUUAUUUGUUCUUUCCAUCCCUAUUUUCUCUUUCAUCUUCCCCAUAAUUACCCAACUUUAUGUGCUUCAUGCAUCUAUAACCUUAAAAUGUAUGCAUCCACUGAGUUGUAGGAUGUAAUUUGUGCCUAUAUGAGAUUUAUUUUUAAUCGCAUAAAAUCUGUUGCACAAGAGUUGUUAGUUUGUUUCUUACACAAUAGUCAACAUUAAGCCAUUAGAAAAAAAAAUAAAAAAUAUACCCAACUAUGAGUAAAGAAACCAUACUGGCAAACCAGAAACCCCAGAUUCGUUUUCAGAGCUGUGGUAGAGCCAGCGUGC